rnacentral:rRNA from 1 species
UACGUAGGGGGCAAGCGUUGUCCGGAUUUACUGGGCGUAAAGAGCGUGUAGGCGCCAAGCAGUCCGUUGUGAAACUGGAGGCUUAACCUCCAGCGUCGACGGAAACCGCGUGGCUAGAGUCCGGAAGAGGAGAGUGGAAUUCCUGGUGUAGCGGUGAAAUGCGCAGAUAUCAGGAAGAACACCAAUGGCGAAGGCAGCUCUCUGGGACGGUACUGACGCUGAGACGCGAAAGCGUGGGGAGCGAACAGG